rnacentral:misc_RNA from 1 species
GAUGAAGAACGUAGCGAAAUGCGAUAAGUAAUGUGAAUUGCAGAAUUCAGUGAAUCAUCGAAUCUUUGAACGCACCUUGCACCCUUUGGUAUUCCGAAGGGUAUGCUCGUUUGAGUGUCAUUGUACUCUCACACUUCCGAUCGUUUGGAUCGGGAGCGGUGGACUUGGGUGUUGCUGCUUUACUGUGGCUCACCUUAAAUGCAUUAGUGCACCUUUCGGUUGGACAUAGUACGGCGUGAUAAGUGUCUUCGCCGGCACCUCACAGAGGGUGGCUGAUCGGGAGCUCUGUGCUUCAAACCGUCCUCGGACAAAAGCUGACAACUUGACCUCAAAUCGAGUAGGACUACCCGCUGAACUUAAGCAUAUCAAUAAGCGGAGGA